AAAAGUAAGAAGAUUUCAAAUGGACGUUAAUUUUGCUUUUGCAUUGUCUUUUUCGCGAUUUAAGUUUAUUAGUGCGGUUCGGUCGCGUUCGUAAGAAAAUGAAGUGAAUAUUAAGUGAUAAUUUUCGUGUUAAAGUUUUUACUGCGGCUCGGUCGGUUUCGUAAGAAAUUUAAGUGAAUACAAUAAUAAAUUUCCUAAGGUUAAUAAAUAACUAUAAUACAUGUUGAUAUGAUGAAAUAAACAACAAAAUCACACGAGUUGGAACUUGAUGCACACAUACAUACAUAUGUAUGUAGCUGAAUAUAGGCUGUUAGAAUUGUGAUCAAAUGACAAUCAUAUUUGCAUAACCAAGCGAAUAAAAACCAAUAUUUAUAAUACAACAAUUUAAUCCCACAUUAUGGACAGCAAAAAGUUCACGCUACCGCAUACGGCAGCUGAAAGCUUGUAAAGCUGCUAGCGCGCUCCACCAGAUAAAGCAACAUAUGCCAAUUGUUUAUCGAAGACAUGUAAAUUGAAGGGAUGUGCGCACGAAGCGCUGGCAUUUAAAAGGCAAGAACCAAGAGAACUCGCCUGUGAACACAAAUACACGCAAACUCACGCAUACACUGGCAUGCAUUUGUGGUGAGCUGGCAGAAUGCGGGCACGCAGAAACCGCAGCAGCCAAUAUAUUGCCCACUUUUAUUGUUUUUAUUGUUGUCGUAAUAGCGAAAUGCAAAGCAAAUGAUAAGCGUGGAGCGCGGAGAGCUGGAGCGGUAAGCUCACAAUUACAGCAGCGAUUGCGAUGACGCUAAGCGGAUAACAAAGAAUGCAAAUGGCAGCGGCCAAUGCAAAUUGACAAUGCAAAAGGCGAUGCGAAAGACAAAAGCAAAAGCAACGCAUUUUGUUAAGAAGUACUCAUAGUGGAAGAAAAAGUGUAGUGUAGUUUAAUAUAGUGUAGUGAAGUGAAGUGUGUAUAUGCGCCUAAAAGCAGGCAGUGCGUUUCAAGAAAGUCAAGAAAAAGUGGAAAACAGAAAAAGUUGCGGAAUGAAAUUGAUAGAGGAGUUUAAAAAUGCUUUGUCUACAGCUUGAUAUCAGGCCAAUUAGACUGUGACAAAGCGAAAAUGUUUGAAAU